rnacentral:rRNA from 1 species
AUUGAACGCUGGCGGCAUGCCUUACACAUGCGAGUCGAACGGCAGCACGGGUGCUUGCACCUGGUGGCGAGUGGCGAACGGGUGAGUAAUAUAUCGGAACGUACCUUAUUGUGGGGGAUAACGCAGCGAAAGCUGUGCUAAUACCGCAUAAUCCCUAAGGGGGAAAGCGGGGGACCGUAAGGCCUCGCGCAAUUAGAGCGGCCGAUACCUGAUUAGCUAGUUGGUGAGGUAAAGGCUCACCAAGGCAACGAUCAGUAGCUGGUCUGAGAGGAAGAUCAGCCACACUGGGACUGAGACACGGCCCAGACUCCUACGGGAGGCAGCAGUGGGGAAUUUUGGACAAUGGGGGCAACCCUGAUCCAGCAAUGCCGCGUGAGUGAAGAAGGCCUUCGGGUUGUAAAGCUCUUUUGUCAGGGAAGAAACAGCAGCUCUAACACAGUUUGCGAAUGACGGUACCUGAAGAAUAAGCACCGGCUAACUACGUGCCAGCCGCCGCAGUAA